AGAAAAACACAAUAACCUUAGUUCGUAUCAAGAAAAAGUUUAUAAAUCACAUAAAAAGACACACACGCAUACACACACAAGCAUAAAAUCAGUGCAAUAAUAAAUUGACUCAUUGAAACCCAGAACUCAUGUGAAUCCAAAAGGCACCUUUUCACAACUUCCUAAUAGCUUUUGUGAAACUCUUGAGCAAUGAUCAUAUACACUGUUUAUGUGCCUAGUGGAAAAGCAAAUCAGUCCACCAGAUUGGAUUUCACUCCGUUCAUUAAAUUUUGUCAAAUUAACAUAUUUGGAGAAAAGAAAU
rnacentral:misc_RNA from 1 species